CUCGAAUCAGGUAGGACUACCCGCUGAACUUAAGCAUAUCAUAGGCCGGAGAGAA
rnacentral:rRNA from 1 species